rnacentral:lncRNA from 1 species
UAUCUAUUGCUAUAAUUGUCUCCUCUUCUAGACUUCAAGUUCAUCAAGGAUAGAAAGAGGGCUUUAGUCGGUUCUUCUAUCCCCAGUGACUACGACAGCAUAUAGUAUGUCCUCAAAUACAUAUAUUGAACGGAAUGAUUUUAGCAUACGCUUCUCCUGGAGUAAUGGUCAACUUCAGUGCUCUGUGGUCUUAGAACUAGAAAAAGCAUACUGCACGAGGCAGGAAGUGAAGGGUGCAUCUGGAGGUGGCUCCUGGGGUGUAGAUGUUGGUGUCCACCUGGCAGGAGCAGCCGUGAGGCAGCCCCACAUGACACACAGGAAGCAGAUGUCGACCAAUUGGAGUGUCCAAAGGAGACCGAGGAUGGCUAUAGCUGGAGACUCUAGCUGUAGACACAGUGUCCCUCGUUUAUUGACACAUGAUAGAUAAAGUCAUCAUUGUCAACGAUAACAGCAUACAUAGUAACUGAGUUCUCCGCUGCUAGACAGUCGGCUGCUGGCUUCGUCCAUGGCUGUAGAGCUAGAAGUCUUCCCCAGCCCCGCAUCUCCAGCAGCCCUCAGGCCUUUUACUUCACUGCCGCUCACCCAGGGAAUUCAGCUGCAGCUCUCCCUAUUUGGAUCAAGGUAAUUCUUCUCUUCAGUGAAACCUGUCUACAUCUCCACUAAGGUUUCUAACUCAUCAUUUG